AUAUUCAGAAGAGGUGGCAAGAAUACACAGAAGAACUAUACAAAAAAGAUAUUCGUGACCCAGAUAACCAUGAUGGUGUGAUCCCUCACCUAGAACCAGACAUCCUGGAGUCUGCAGUCUGGUUACAGAGAGUUAAGUCUUAAGACUCAACUUUGCUUAGAAAUUGAGCAUGUCAUCUACAACAGCAUGACGCAGACGUGUGCUGGACAAGGACGCCACAGAUUGUCAAAUUCUGUAGGCUUUGUGUCCAACAGCAAAGAUGUCUGAGUUUAAUGCCAGGACUUGAGAGCUCAGGAGAGGUUGUCACCAUAUUCAUGUCCCACGUUUGGGAGGCACAAAGGUGAGUGAACACAGAGCAGCCCUACUCACGGAAGGCCAGGCUCCAUCUAAUCUGCACAGAUACCAGAGAUACCACAGGGCCAGCACAGCCAGCCCCAGCGUGGAGGGCCGUGUAAAGGGUGCUUUGCCAUGUGUUGCUGUCCCUCAGUCUGUCUUGACUCUCUGCAACCCCACGGAUUGCGCGCGCCAGGCUUCCCUGUCCUUCACUGUCUCCAGGAGCUGGCUCAGACUCAUGUGCAUUGAGUUGGUGAUGCCAUGCAACCAGCCUGUCCUCUGUUGUCCCCUUCUCCUCCUGCCCUCAGUCUUUCCCAGCAUCAANNNNNNNNNNNNNNNNNNNNNNNNNNNAUCAGGUGGCCAAAGUACUGGAGCUUCAGCUUCAGCAUCAGUCCCUCCAACGAGAGCCGUAAGCCCAGAGCAGCAGAGCAGGAGGAGCUGAGAAGCCACAGGACGGCGCUCGCCCAGCCCGAACCACGACCCCCACUGGACCUUGGGAGUGGCCCUGCCAUGCUGCUUGGGAAGAUAGGCAAGGUCAAGCCCGCCACGUCUGUGAAGACGCUUCCUGCUCCUGCCUCCGCUCACUGCCUGCGGGAAGUGGCCAUCACUCUGCAUUUCCUUGUGAAAGGGGAAGAGGGUCAACUCUCACUAAGAGGUCACCUUCCUAGUUUGGGCUCAGAGUCGGCAGGUACCAGAGGUGUCCUGUGGGUACCACAGACCAGCGUCAGGAGUGUGGACAAGACCCCCAGGCAUGAGCCACACGGGAGGAAUUAUAACUUCCUUCAAGUAUCUUACUUCACCCCAACACAACUGUGUGAUCCAGCUUUGUUAAUUUCAUCAGUUCAGUUCAGUUCAGUUCAGUUCAGUCGCUCAGUCGUGUUCGGCUCUUUGCGACCCCAUG
rnacentral:lncRNA from 1 species